rnacentral:rRNA from 1 species
GUGUCAGCCGCCGCGGUAAUACGAAGGGGGCUAGCGUUGUUCGGAAUUACUGGGCGUAAAGGGCGCGUAGGCGGCGUCGAUAGUCGGGUGUGAAAUGCCUGGGCUCAACCCGGGAAUGGCACUCGAAACUUCGAUGCUUGAGUGUGGGAGAGGAUAGUGGAAUUCCCAGUGUAGAGGUGAAAUUCGUAGAUAUUGGGAAGAACACCAGUGGCGAAGGCGGCUAUCUGGACCACAACUGACGCUGAGGCGCGAAAGCGUGGGGAGCAAACAGGAUUAGAUACCCGAGUAGUCC